rnacentral:rRNA from 1 species
CCUACGGGAGGCUGCAGUGAGGAAUAUUGGUCAAUGGACGAGAGUCUGAACCAGCCAAGUAGCGUGAAGGAUGACUGCCCUAUGGGUUGUAAACUUCUUUUAUAUGGGAAUAAAAUGUUCCACGUGUGGGAUUUUGUAUGUACCAUAUGAAUAAGGAUCGGCUAACUCCGUGCCAGCAGCCGCGGUAAUACGGAGGAUCCGAGCGUUAUCCGGAUUUAUUGGGUUUAAAGGGAGCGUAGGUGGAUUGUUAAGUCAGUUGUGAAAGUUUGCGGCUUAACCGUAAAAUUGCAGUUGAAACUGGCAGUCGUGAGUACAGUAGAGGUGGGCGGAAUUCGUGGUGUAGCGGUGAAAUGCUUAGAUAUCACGAAGAACUCCGAUUGCGAAGGCAGCUCACUGGACUGCAACUGACACUGAGGCUCGAAAGUGUGGGUAUCAAACAGGAUUAGAUACCCCAGUAGUC